UAGCUCAGACAGUAGAGCAUGAGACUCUUAACCUCAAGGUUGUGGGCUCAUGCCCCAC
rnacentral:tRNA from 1 species